GAUGGCCAACGUUCUGUAAAUGGGGUUGGAUCCGUUCUCAAAGGCUCUCCAACUCAACUCCUACUCAAUACGUCCACGUCGUACAGAACGGGUACAUGACCUUUCCGAAUAUCCGAGCUUGGGUACACGGGGAAAACCCAACCCCUUGGGAGGAUGGAAGGCAUGGCAGAAUUGAGAGGG
rnacentral:ribozyme from 1 species